CCCCUCUCAGGGUCACACCUGGGGAGUUUCCAGUACUCUACCAGUCAUGGCUACAGGAGGGAGAGUAAAGCAGAGGCCUACCCAUUCCAUUUCUAGCUUGGGCAGCGGCUAGUGAAUGAAAGUCAAUCUGCUUCAAAU